rnacentral:rRNA from 1 species
AUUGAACGCUGGCGGCAGGCUUAACACAUGCAAGUCGAGCGGGGGAAGGUAGCUUGCUACUGGACCUAGCGGCGGACGGGUGAGUAAUGCUUAGGAAUCUGCCUAUUAGUGGGGGACAACAUCUCGAAAGGGAUGCUAAUACCGCAUACGUCCUACGGGAGAAAGCAGGGGAUCUUCGGACCUUGCGCUAAUAGAUGAGCCUAAGUCGGAUUAGCUAGUUGGUGGGGUAAAGGCCUACCAAGGCGACGAUCUGUAGCGGGUCUGAGAGGAUGAUCCGCCACACUGGGACGGAGACACGGCACAGAAGCCUACGGGAGGCGGCAGUGGGGAAGAUUGGACAAUGGGGGGAACCCUGAUCCAGCCAUGCCGCGUGUGUGAAGAAGGCCUUAUGGUUGUAAAGCACUUUAAGCGAGGAGGAGGCUACUUUAGUUAAUACCUAGAGAUAGUGGACGUUACUCGCAGAAUAAGCACCGGCUAACUCUGUGCCAGCCGCCGCCGUAAGAC